AGAGUUUGAUCAUGGCUCAGAACGAACGCUGGCGGCAGGCUUAACACAUGCAAGUCGAACGCCCCGCAAGGGGAGUGGCAGACGGGUGAGUAACGCGUGGGAACAUACCCUUUCCUGCGGAAUAGCUCCGGGAAACUGGAAUUAAUACCGCAUACGCCCUACGGGGGAAAGAUUUAUCGGGGAAGGAUUGGCCCGCGUUGGAUUAGCUAGUUGGUGGGGUAAAGGCCUACCAAGGCGACGAUCCAUAGCUGGUCUGAGAGGAUGAUCAGCCACAUUGGGACUGAGACACGGCCCAAACUCCUACGGGAGGCAGCAGUGGGGAAUAUUGGACAAUGGGCGCAAGCCUGAUCCAGCCAUGCCGCGUGAGUGAUGAAGGCCUUAGGGUUGUAAAGCUCUUUCACCGAUGAAGAUAAUGACGGUAGUCGGAGAAGAAGCCCCGGCUAACUUCGUGCCAGCAGCCGCGGUAAUACGAAGGGGGCUAGCGUUGUUCGGAAUUACUGGGCGUAAAGCGCACGUAGGCGGAUAUUUAAGUCAGGGGUGAAAUCCCGCAGCUCAACUGCGGAACUGCCUUUGAUACUGGGUAUCUUGAGUAUGGAAGAGGUAAGUGGAAUUCCGAGUGUAGAGGUGAAAUUCGUAGAUAUUCGGAGGAACACCAGUGGCGGAGGCGGCUUACUGGUCCAUUACUGACGCUGAGGUGCGAAAGCGUGGGGAGCAAACAGGAUUAGAUACCCCGGUAGUCC
rnacentral:rRNA from 1 species